AAGUUGGAUUCGCUAGUAAUCGCGCAUCAGCCAUGGCGCGGUGAAUACGUUCCCGAGCCUUGUACACACCGCCCGUCAAGCCAUGGGAGCCGGGGGUGCCUGAAGUUCGUGACCGCAAGGAGCGACCUAGGGCAAAACUGGUGACUGGGGCUAAGUCGUAACAAGGUAUC
rnacentral:rRNA from 1 species